rnacentral:tRNA from 1 species
GGAGGAGUCGCAUAGCGGCCUAGUGCACUUGCUUGGAAAGCAAGCGGGUUUUAUAGCCCACAUGGGUUCAAAUCCCAUCUCCUCCGCCC